CCUCCCAAAGUGCUGGGAUUACAGGCGUGAGCUACCAUGCCCAGCCCAUGUCCCUCUCUCUCUUUUUUUUUGGCUACCAAAUAUCCUAGUUUACUGAGUACGUGUCUUUUUAAUACUCUGUAUAAUGAGGUGGGAAGUACACAUUUAGCCCUUCUGUGCAUACAAAAGAAGUAUGAUUGUUGUCUCCAAGAGAAACAGUUUUGUGAUAGUUUGAGCUGCAAGUUGAACUACUGCUUUUUCAUGGAGCACUAUAUUUAAUCGAAAGAACAAGUGGAGGUGGCUGCACAGUCAUGGCGGAGGUGACCAAAGCCACAUAAUGUCCGUAGUUCAUGCAUCCAUCCAUGCCAAAUGGAUGGUGGAGAAGGUGAUUGGGACAAAAGUGCAAAAGACUGCUAAAGUGAGAGUGACCAGGCUUGUUCUGGAUGCCUAUUUAUUAGAGUAUUAUAAUAAGCGGAAAACCUACUUUGCUCGUGAUGCCCUUCAGCAGUGCACAGUUGGGGAUAUUGUGCUUCUCAGAGCUUUACCUGUUCCACAAACAAAGCAUGUGAAACAUGAACUGGCUGAGAUUGUUUUCAAAGUUGGAAAAAUCAUAGAUCCAGUGACAGGAAAGCCCUGUGCAGGAAUUACCUACCUGGAGAGUCCAUUGAGUUCGGAGGCCACCCAGUUAAGCAAAAAUCUGGAAGAACUUAAUAUCUCUUCAGCACAGUGGAGGGAGAGUGGAAGAAGGAGCUAAAGGGAAAGAUUGACAUGUUUAUGUUAUGGAAAAAGAAUUUUUUCUAAGUUUCAUCGCAAACUGUGUCCAGUUUGUGGUGUUUAUGAAAUAGCUAAAAGCAAAUGAAGGGCAUAUUAUCGUUUUUCA